rnacentral:rRNA from 1 species
AGAGUUUGAUCAUGGCUCAGAUUGAACGCUGGCGGCAGGCCUAACACAUGCAAGUCGAGCGGUAGCACAGAGAGCUUGCUCUCGGGUGACGAGCGGCGGACGGGUGAGUAAUGUCUGGGAAACUGCCUGAUGGAGGGGGAUAACUACUGGAAACGGUAGCUAAUACCGCAUAACGUCGCAAGACCAAAGUGGGGGACCUUCGGGCCUCAUGCCAUCAGAUGUGCCCAGAUGGGAUUAGCUGGUAGGUGGGGUAACGGCUCACCUAGGCGACGAUCCCUAGCUGGUCUGAGAGGAUGACCAGCCACACUGGAACUGAGACACGGUCCAGACUCCUACGGGAGGCAGCAGUGGGGAAUAUUGCACAAUGGGCGCAAGCCUGAUGCAGCCAUGCCGCGUGUGUGAAGAAGGCCUUCGGGUUGUAAAGCACUUUCAGCGGGGAGGAAGGCGGUGAGGUUAAUAACCUCAUCGAUUGACGUUACCCGCAGAAGAAGCACCGGCUAACUCCGUGCCAGCAGCCGCGGUAAUAC